GGAAUAUAAGAACUCGUUUCUUAAUUUUUAAUUAAAAAAACUAAGAACCGAUUCUUAAAUCUCUUAUUUAAGAGCCGGUUCUUAGCUUUUUUAGUUAAAAGUUAAGAGACAGAUUCUUAUAUUCC
rfam:Brassica napus, WGS project CCCW01000000 data, contig: 9112